UUUCCUUUUAUUUUUAGAAAUAAUCUAUUCAGUUGUUAAAAUUCCUUAUUCCGGGCUGGGUACGGUGGCUCACACCUGUAACCCCAACAAUUUGGGAGGCCAGCGCAGGUGGAGGUUGCAGUGAACCGAGAUCGCACCAUUGCACUCCAGCCUGGGCGCCAAGAGAAACUCCAGCUCAAAAAAAAAGAAAAAAAGGUUGGGCUAUUUCAACAUCAGGGUCCCAUUUAAUACCCUCUUAAAACAUCAGCUUUCCUUCCAGAGACUGACCAUUGAGAAAGCAGUACUGCUGACAUAGAUCCUGCCUACUUAUAAAUCAUAAUGGUUG
rnacentral:sRNA from 1 species